AAUCAACGCUGGCGGCGUGCCUCAGACAUGCAAGUCGAACGAUUAAAGCUCUCUUCGGAGAGUGCAUAGAGUGGCGCACGGGUGAGUAACACGUAAGUAAUCUACCUUCGAGUGGGGAAUAACGUCCGGAAACGGACGCUAAUACCGCAUAAUGCAGCGGCAUCGUAAGAUGACAGUUGUUAAAGAUUUAUCGCUUGAAGAGGAGCUUGCGGCAGAUUAGCUAGUUGGUAAGGUAAUGGCUUACCAAAGCUACGAUCUGUAACCGGUCUUAGAGGACGGUCGGUCACACUGACACUGAAUAACGGGUCAGACUCCUACGGGAGGCAGCAGUCGGGAAUUUUGGGCAAUGGGCGAAAGCCUGACCCAGCAACGCCGCGUGAAGGAUGAAGUAUUUCGGUAUGUAAACUUCGAAAGAAUAGGAAGAAUAAAUGACGGUACUAUUUAUAAGGUCCGGCUAACUACGUGCCAGCAGCCGCGGUAAU
rnacentral:rRNA from 1 species